rnacentral:rRNA from 1 species
UACGAAGGGGGCUAGCGUUGCUCGGAAUCACUGGGCGUAAAGCGCACGUAGGCGGGUCGUUAAGUCAGGGGUGAAAUCCUGGAGCUCAACUCCAGAACUGCCUUUGAUACUGGCGAUCUCGAGUUCGGGAGAGGUGAGUGGAACUGCGAGUGUAGAGGUGAAAUUCGUAGAUAUUCGCAAGAACACCAGUGGCGAAGGCGGCUCACUGGCCCGAUACUGACGCUGAGGUGCGAAAACGUGGGGAGCAAACAGG